UGGGGAAUAUUGCACAAUGGGGGAAACCCUGAUGCAGCGACGCCGCGUGAGCGAAGAAGGUUUUCGGAUCGUAAAGCUCUGUCCUUGGAGAAGAUAAUGACGGUAUCCAAGGAGGAAGCCCCGGCUAACUACGUGCCAGCAGCCGCGGUAAUACGUAGGGGGCGAGCGUUGUCCGGAAUUACUGGGCGUAAAGGGUACGUAGGCGGUUUCAUAAGUCGGGUGUAAAAGGCAAUGGCUCAACCAUUGUAAGCACUUGAAACUGUGAAACUUGAGUACAGGAGAGGUAAGUGGAAUUCCUAGUGUAGCGGUGAAAUGCGUAGAUAUUAGGAGGAACACCAGUGGCGAAGGCGACUUACUGGACUGUAACUGACGCUGAGGUACGAAAGCGUGGGGAGCGAACAGGAUUAGAUACCCUGGUAGUCCACGCCGUAAACGAUGAGUACUAAGUGUCGGGGGAGACCUCGGUGCUGAAGUUAACGCAUUAAGUACUCCGCCUGGGAAGUACGGUCGCAAGACUGA
rnacentral:rRNA from 1 species